GACAGAGGAUGCAAGCGUUAUCCGGAAUGAUUGGGCGUAAAGCGUCUGUAGGUGGCUUUUUAAGUCCGCCGUCAAAUCCCAGGGCUCAACCCUGGACAGGCGGUGGAAACUACCAAGCUGGAGUACGGUAGGGGCAGAGGGAAUUCCCGGUGUAGUGGUGAAAUGCGUUGAGAGUCGGAAGGAACGCCCGUGGCGAAAGCGAGGUCCUGGACGUCUUCUGACGCUGAGACGCGAAAGCUAGGGGAGCGAACGGG
rnacentral:rRNA from 1 species